CAUCUUACCUGGUGGUAUUGGG
rnacentral:miRNA from 1 species